GAUGAACGCUGGCGGCGUGCCUAACACAUGCAAGUCGAACGGAGUCAGUUUUGGAAAGCUCUUCGGAACUGGAAUCUAUGACUUAGUGGCGGACGGGUGAGUAACGCGUGAGCAAUCUGCCUUUCAGAGGGGGAUAACAGCCGGAAACGGCUGCUAAUACCGCAUAAUGCAUUGGAUUCGCAUGUUUCUGGGGGAAAAGGAGCAAUUCGCUCUGGGAUGGACUCGCGUCCGAUUAGCUGGAUGGUGAGGUAACGGCCCACCAUGGCGACGAUCGGUAGCCGGACUGAGAGGUUGAUCGGCCACAUUGGGACUGAGACACGGCCCAG
rnacentral:rRNA from 1 species